GCUGGGUGUGGUGGCCUGUACCUGUAAUCCCAGCAACUCAGGAAGCUGAGGCAGGAGAAUUGCAAGGUAGAGGCCAGCCUCAGCAACUUAAAGAGGCCCUCAGCAACUUAGCAAGACCCUGUCUCUA
rnacentral:sRNA from 1 species